GUUAGAUUGGCUAUGGGCGUAACUGGUUAUAUCAUUCAACUUUAAAAUAGUGAGAGUUCUGUUGGUAACAAACACUUUGGUUCCGACACUCGAAUAAGUGCCUGUGAAGCAAUAGAAAUUCUACAUCUCAACCAUGAACAAACUCGUCCUGGUGCUCCUGCUUGUAGGCUGCGUCGCUCUGCUGACUCUGCUGCCACAAGUUGAAGCGUCGUUCCGAAAGUCGCCGUGUUAUUGCCAACAAAUCUGUGGUGAUACGGAGACUGACACAGGCAGCUGCCCAGAUAAUAAGCCAGGGAAAUUUUGCUGCUAUCAACGUUGAUAAUUGCAAACUCUCCCAAGACAUAUCCUGAAACGACCGUCUUGUUAUUAGUUUGAUAAACUAUUGAAAUGAAGAGAAAGCAUCCUAU